rnacentral:lncRNA from 1 species
AAACUGUAGUAAGGUGAAAAAUGUAAAUAAAUUUAAAGCCUAAAAGUGCCUAAAUACAAGAGUGCGCUUGUGAACGGGAAUGAACCUGUUUCACACGUGAUGUCAGAGCUUAAGUAAAGUAUAGUAAAAUUAGAAUGAGAAUUAUAUCAUCGAAAGUAGUCUCAGAUAUCAGUGUUUACCAAAAAUCCUCGUCGACACGAACAAUGCCACUAAAUCCUAGAGGGCCUAAAAACAAGGGUGAGUGAGACUAAAAAUAAAGUUUGUAAAACCUUUUUGAAAAUGUAAUAACCCAUUGCCGUAAAACAAGUGUAGUGUCUAAAAUAUACAUACUACGUAUAGUAUGAAAAUACUUACCAUAGCCUGCAAUAUCUCAAGAAUGCAAUAGGUCACGACAUCUCGUAAAUAAACACAUAAUGUCAAGUAAUCACAUAAUUUCGCAUAAACAACAUAUCAUAUCGAGUGCUCAUCAACAUAUGUUGACACACGAGUUCAUGAAGAGGUAUUCUAACAUGAACUUGACUGGGUGUAACAAUGAUUUACGCUCUCGUACUACACUCACGUGAAGACUGCGCUAUGCGCAUCACAUACGAGUCCUAAUUUCCUAUAGCAGUCUAGGAUAGGACUAGCACCUACAAUGGAUCCAAAGUGAGUGUACGGUGCGAUGUGAACAUACACAUGAAGCCUGGCCCUAGCCCGGGCGAGUGCAAACACCAGUGUAGCACACGAUGAACAUAUAGCAUAAAUAUAGUCAUACCAUAAUGACUCGAUAAAUCUAGUCAACAACGUAUUAUUCAAAUAAAAUAUUUAUCAUGGUCGUUUAUAAAAUCUCUUAGUAGUACGCAUACCUGUGCAUCCCUUUGGUGACACACCCCGACCUGGAAAGGUCGAAGAAUGCUGGUCGUCACCGUGAGGUGAAAAUAACCAUAAGGGUAAGUAAUGUAAAAAGUGAAUAAAAUUAAAACUAAUUAAAACUAAACAGUGAAAGAGUGCGCAAUUCGUAGGUUGAACCCACUACAAUUAUUCAGAGCGUAAUAGACAGGAGACUACGAAAGAGUAGUCAAAGCAACCAAAGUACACUUAUUACAUAAUAGUGAUAAGUUCGUACGUCUAAACAUAAGGAAAUGUCAGAAUUGCCGUGAUUCCUCGAGUGCCACAAAGAGUACAGCUAUCUAGGUCCUGGAGGGGCGAAAAACAAAGUUGAGUGGGUCAGCAAAACAAGGCUUAUAAGAAAACCUUUAUCUUUGAAUAUACUCACCCCUCGCCAUAAAACAAGUAUAGUUUCCUCAAAACAUACUACGUAAGUAUGAAAUCCAAUAUAUCAGUCAUAUCUAGAAAUAUGCCAAGUAAAUGAUGUAUCAUAUGCCACAAUAAUAAUCAUGUGAUAAUCAAUAUAACUAAGUGCUCAUCCAUCUAAGCUGACACACAAGUUUGAACAUAUGGUUUCUGACACGAACAGGACUGGGUGUAAUCAAUAUGCUCUAGUACUACGAUCACGUGAAGACAGGUGCAAACGCACAUCACAUACAAGUCGGAUCGCCUAAUGCAAUCUACCCGACAAGACUGGCAUCCAAACUUGGAUCCAAGGUGAGCGAACGGUGCGGAUGUGAACAUACACGUGAAGGACUGGCCCUGGCCCUGGGGUGAGUACUAACACCGGGUGCAGCAAGAUGAGCAUGUACACAAGUACGUAUGAAUGCCAUGACAGUAAUAUCACAACCAUAUAGCAGCAUUUAUCACAAUUUAUAUCAUAAUAAUGAUACUAGGCAAGUUAGGCGUAAAAGUGAAGUAAAUACGCAUUUAUGGAAACUAUAAAUAUAUAUAGGUAUAAAACAACAGCCCACUCACAAGUACAUCGCUGGGUCGUAGCCCCCGAGCCUAGCUUGGCCUCGAAAAUCCUCGGAAUAAGUUUCCCCUAUAUGUGAUAUAACUAAAUAACAUUAAUUAAAGCACAUAACAGAAACCUAAAUAAAACCCCCAUAGUUUGCUCAAACCUAGGGUGUAAAUAUA